AUGAGAGGAGAAUUCAAUGGCCUUCAGAAGUUAAUUCGAGAUGAGAACCCAUAUGCUUUCUAUAUCCAUUGCUUUGCCCACCAACUGCAAUUGGUAGUUGUUGCUGUUUCGAGAUGCUGCAAGGGUGUUGAGGAUUUUUUUGAAUAUGUGACCAUGAAUGCUAAUCUCAGUACUUCAUCUUGCAAAAGGAAGGAUAAAUUGCUUGACAAGCAAAAAGAGGUUCUUUUGGAUAAGAUUAAGAGUGGUGAGAUGCCGACGGGAAGAGGGUAA
rnacentral:rRNA from 1 species